rnacentral:sRNA from 1 species
GCAGUUCCAUCUGCGCUUUGUUCAAGGUGUGGGUCUGGCGCUUUCGUGACUCAAGACCCUCUUAGGAACUUCUUCACUGAACUCAAGGAGGAAAUCAGGCAAGAUCUGUGCUGUGCAGAUCCUUUGGAUUAAGGCUGCUGUGCACAGGAAUAUGGGUGAGUCAUUCCAUUCUCUCCUGGGCAGGUGAGGCCUAGAUUGUGAAGUUAGUCUGGGCACAGGAAUCCUGCUUGUGGGCACCAGGGUUGAAAGGGAGCUUCUCUCAGUGGUAUUUAUCAAACAGGAGAAAAGCACUGAAGUGGGCAGGGGGCCUCUGGACCUUGAGGAGUAGAGUUUUGUUUCAGAUGGGAAUAAGGGUGAUGUAGUAGAACUCAAAAUUGGGUGUCAUGGGACUUGGAUUUGAGUCCCAGCUUUCCUCUAAGUUCCAAGUUUUCCUUCUGUACAUUUGGAUAUAAGACUGGAUAGACUGGGAGGUUCCUUCCAGCUCUGACAUACUGAGAGUCUCUAAAUAGUGGGACCAGGUCAAUCUCUUAGGGAAUUUAGUCCCUGGGAUGGCUCUGUUGAGACAGAAUUGCCAAGAAUGCAAAUACACCAUUAUGGUGUUUCCCAGAUAAUGUGAAGCACAAAAAGGACAAACAUGUAGAAGA